rnacentral:rRNA from 1 species
GUUUGAUCAUGGCUCAGGAUGAACGCUGGCGGCGUGCCCAACACAUGCAAGUCGAGCGGAUUUAGUUUAGUGCUUGCACUAGACUAAAUUAGCGGCGGACGGGUGAGGAACACGUGGAUAACCUGCCUUUUACAAAGGAAUAACUGUGAGAAACCACUGCUAAAACCUUAUAAGCAUACGCUAUCGCAUGAUAGAGUGUGAAAAUAUUUAUAGGUAAAAGAGGGGUCCGCGUCUGAUUAGCUAGUUGGUGAGGUAAUGGCCCACCAAGGCGACGAUCAGUAGCCGGCCUGAGAGGGUGAACGGCCACAUUGGGACUGAGACACGGCCCAAACUCCUACGGGAGGCAGCAGUGGGGAAUAUUGCGCAAUGGAGGAAACUCUGACGCAGCAACGCCGCGUGAAGGAUGAAGGCUUUCGGGUUGUAAACUUCUAUCGAUGGGGAAGAAAAAAAUGACGGUACCCAAGUAAGAAGCACCGGCUAACUACGUGCCAGCAGCCGCGGUAAUACGUAGGGUGCAAGCGUUAUCCGGAAUUACUGGGCGUAAAGGGCGAGUAGGCGGCAGGUUAAGUCAUAUGUGAAAAUCCAAAGCUCAACUUUGGACUUGCAUAAGAAACUGGCCAGCUGGAGUGCAGGAGGGGUAAGUGGAAUUCCUAGUGUAGCGGUGAAAUGCGUAGAGAUUAGGAAGAACACCAGUGGCGAAGGCGACUUACUGGACUGUAACUGACGCUGAGUCACGAAAGCGUGGGGAGCGAACAGGAUUAGAUACCCUGGUAGUCCACGCUGUAAACGAUGAAUGCUAGGUGUCGGGGCGAGAGUUUCGGUGCCGGAGUUAACACAAUAAGCAUUCCGCCUGGGGAGUACGGUCGCAAGACUGAAACUCAAAGGAAUUGACGGGGGCCCGCACAAGCGGUGGAGUAUGUGGUUUAAUUCGACGCAACGCGAAGAACCUUACCAAGACUUGACAUG